UACGUAGGGACCGAGCGUUGUCCGGAAUCAUUGGCGUAAAGAGCGUGUAGGCGGCCACUUAAGUCCUGCGUGAAAUCUUGCGGCUCAACCGCAAGCGGUCGUGGGAAACUGGGUGGCUAGAGUGCGGGAGAGGAGAGUGGAAUUCCGUGGUGUAGCGGUGGAAUGCGCAGAUAUCAGGAAGACACCCGUGGCGAAGGCGGCUCUCUGGAACGCAACUGACGCUGAGACGCGAAAGCGUGGGGAGCAAACAGG
rnacentral:rRNA from 1 species